UACGUAGGGUGCAAGCGUUGUCCGGAAUUAUUGGGCGUAAAGAGCUCGUAGGCGGCUUGUCACGUCGACUGUGAAAACCCGGGGCUCAACUCCGGGCCUGCAGUCGAUACGGGCUGGCUUGAGUGCGGUAGGGGAGACUGGAAUUCCUGGUGUAGCGGUGAAAUGCGCAGAUAUCAGGAGGAACACCGAUGGCGAAGGCAGGUCUCUGGGCCGAUACUGACGCUGAGGAGCGAAAGCGUGGGGAGCGAACAGG
rnacentral:rRNA from 1 species